CUGUUUCCCUCUGCUCUCUCACACCCUGGAAUUUCCCAGGGAGGCAGAAGAAAAGGAAGAGGCAGGAUGGGGGAGGAGAGAUCACAGCACACAGCAAGGAGGAGGAAGGAAGGAGGGUGAAAGGAGGAGAUAGAGGAGGAAGAGGGCCCAGCAGCUGGAAGACCCACACCCUACAGCUCUGUGGCUGACAGCCACUCAGUUGGGCAAGAUGUGGUUGAGGUACAAAAGUCUAAAAGGUCGUUUCAAAUUUUCCUAAUGAGCAUGUAGCCUGAAUGUCAAGAGGGAACGCCUAUAGCACAGUGGAACUCAACGCAGAUGAAGCUGGAAGUUAGAGCCCUUUCUUUACAUCGCACUUACAGUUUUUUCAGAAAGGGAAGUAGAGAUGGUCCCCAAGCUGGUGCCUGUAUUACUGGUCUGAGCUGAGUCCUCACUCAGGGCCCUCUCUAGACUGGCAGGUAGGGAAUGGAUUAGUCUUUCUCUGAAGUCCUGGCCCAUAAAGACAUAAACCAUUGGGUUGAGGCAGCUGUUGAAGAAAGCCAAGGGACUUGUGAUUUUCAAAGCAAUUACAGUGCUUUGUGCCAUGUUCUUCACCCGUUCACGGAUUUGGAUUGUGGAUAUGAGGGCCACUACUUGAAAUGGACACCAGCAGAGGAAAAAGGCAGCCACAACAAAAGAGAGGACCCGCAAAGGACGGCUGGAUUUGAUCAAGCCUUGCCUGUGGAUUUUAGUGGCUAUUAACCCAUAGCAAAUGGCAACAAUGGACAUGGGAGUGCUGAACCCAAUGAUGAACCUGAUGAUUCCUCUGACAGUAUACAUGGUGAUAGCCACUUUCUCUCUCUCUACAGGAUCCUUGGUCCAGGGGGAGAAGUCAAAAACACAGGCUGUUUUCCCUGGUUCAAGUCUAAUAGGGACUGUGGUCAUACGAAUGAUAACUGGCAAUGUAAGGAGAAAUGCACAAAUCCAGGGUACAAUGAUUACCUUCUUGGCCAGGCUCACGGUGCGGUGGUUCUGAGCCCAGACUGGAUGCAGGACACAAAUACAGCGGUCCAAUGCUAUGAGGGCAAUCAGAAAGACACUUCCAAAUAGGUUUAUGUCUAUUACAGUAUAUAUGAACUUGCACAUGAACCAACCAAAUGGCCAGUGUUGUCCCAUGGCUAUGCUGGUGAUGUAAAAUGGCAAAGUGGAGGUGAAGCAAAAGUCAGCAAUGGCCAAGUUCAAGUAAGAGAUGGUGGUAACGGUGUGUUUCAUGCGGAAACCAGCCACCCAGAUCACAAGCCCAUUGCCUAGCACUCCAAGGACAAAGGUGACUGCAAAGAUCAAAUAUGAGAAGACAUCCAGAACAAUGUAGCCAGCAGAUCUUGAUUGAGAACUCCUAGAUACAUUCACGAGCUUUGCUGCAGACAUGUUCAUGAGGAGAGACGUGUUGGUGUCCAUCGUGUAGACUCCUACAACAUUAAGAAAGAGGUGUGUUUAUUUGUCUUACCUUUUCUUUUCUCUGUCAGACAAGGUCUCAGUAUACAUCCUUGCUAGCCUAGAACUUUCUCUAUAGACAAAAGUGGCUGUGAACUCACAGAAAUCUGCCUGUCUCUUCCUUUCUUGUGUUGGGAUUAAAGUGGUAUAUCACAA